CCCGAGAAUAAUACGUACUCCGUAUUCGAAACAUCCAGGGGCAUCUAGCCUUUCUCUCGAGUCUCGACACAGGCGGCCCAUAAAGAAAAAAUGAGUAUUUCGGAAAAGAGUUGGAGUUACAACUUCUAGGCGGGCAUGAGACGAGUCGAUUAUGAUAACCCAAAGUGAUAACAGUCCUUUGAGCAGGAUGCACAAUUAUAACAGGUGUUCGGGUGGACCCAAUGUGGAUAUUGAAAGUGACAAAGGAUUUGGUGUUGUCGAAGGGAAGACACGGGCCAGGGGUGUUGUCGAAUGAGGGGUAGGAGAUGAUGAAAAUGGGACCGGGGACGAUAAAUCUGAAGAAGAAAGGGUCAUUUGUGAUAUGCGAGUGUCAUGUGGGCAUAUAACGAAUGAGUUAUCGAGUCAUAAAUUGAAUAACGAUGUUUCCCUUUUUGUUGAGAAGUGAACAAAAUAUGAUUUACAGACUGAGCGGAUGGUCUAAAAGUUAUGACUACCAAUAAUUUGUUGCAACUUGCAAAAGACAUAGAUUGCUGAUUUUGGUAGUUCCUCUUUACAAAAAGAAGUAUUCAAAGGCUACUAACAAUUAUUGAUUUUGUAUUUAAUUGUGUUACAUUAAUGAAUUAUUUGAAGAUUCUUGAAUGAGAUGGAAAUAGUUGUAUUUGAUUCUUUCUCCCAA